GUUAAGCGACUAAGCGUACACGGUGGAUGCCCUGGCAGUCAGAGGCGAUGAAGGACGUGCUAAUCUGCGAUAAGCGUCGGUAAGGUGAUAUGAACCGUUAUAACCGGCGAUUUCCGAAUGGGGAAACCCAGUGUGUUUCGACACACUAUCAUUAACUGAAUCCAUAGGUUAAUGAGGCGAACCGGGGGAACUGAAACAUCUAAGUACCCCGAGGAAAAGAAAUCAACCGAGAUUCCCCCAGUAGCGGCGAGCGAACGGGGAGCAGCCCAGAGCCUGAAUCAGUGUGUGUGUUAGUGGAAGCGUCUGGAAAGGCGCGCGAUACAGGGUGACAGCCCCGUACACAAAAAUGCACAUGCUGUGAGCUCGAUGAGUAGGGCGGGACACGUGGUAUCCUGUCUGAAUAUGGGGGGACCAUCCUCCAAGGCUAAAUACUCCUGACUGACCGAUAGUGAACCAGUACCGUGAGGGAAAGGCGAAAAGAACCCCGGCGAGGGGAGUGAAAAAGAACCUGAAACCGUGUACGUACAAGCAGUGGGAGCACGCUUAGGCGUGUGACUGCGUACCUUUUGUAUAAUGGGUCAGCGACUUAUAUUCUGUAGCAAGGUUAACCGAAUAGGGGAGCCGAAGGGAAACCGAGUCUUAACUGGGCGUUAAGUUGCAGGGUAUAGACCCGAAACCCGGUGAUCUAGCCAUGGGCAGGUUGAAGGUUGGGUAACACUAACUGGAGGACCGAACCGACUAAUGUUGAAAAAUUAGCGGAUGACUUGUGGCUGGGGGUGAAAGGCCAAUCAAACCGGGAGAUAGCUGGUUCUCCCCGAAAGCUAUUUAGGUAGCGCCUCGUGAAUUCAUCUCCGGGGGUAGAGCACUGUUUCGGCAAGGGGGUCAUCCCGACUUACCAACCCGAUGCAAACUGCGAAUACCGGAGAAUGUUAUCACGGGAGACACACGGCGGGUGCUAACGUCCGUCGUGAAGAGGGAAACAACCCAGACCGCCAGCUAAGGUCCCAAAGUCAUGGUUAAGUGGGAAACGAUGUGGGAAGGCCCAGACAGCCAGGAUGUUGGCUUAGAAGCAGCCAUCAUUUAAAGAAAGCGUAAUAGCUCACUGGUCGAGUCGGCCUGCGCGGAAGAUGUAACGGGGCUAAACCAUGCACCGAAGCUGCGGCAGCGACGCUGAUGCGUUGUUGGGUAGGGGAGCGUUCUGUAAGCCUGCGAAGGUGUGCUGUGAGGCAUGCUGGAGGUAUCAGAAGUGCGAAUGCUGACAUAAGUAACGAUAAAGCGGGUGAAAAGCCCGCUCGCCGGAAGACCAAGGGUUCCUGUCCAACGUUAAUCGGGGCAGGGUGAGUCGACCCCUAAGGCGAGGCCGAAAGGCGUAGUCGAUGGGAAACAGGUUAAUAUUCCUGUACUUGGUGUUACUGCGAAGGGGGGACGGAGAAGGCUAUGUUGGCCGGGCGACGGUUGUCCCGGUUUAAGCGUGUAGGCUGGUUUUCCAGGCAAAUCCGGAAAAUCAAGGCUGAGGCGUGAUGACGAGGCACUACGGUGCUGAAGCAACAAAUGCCCUGCUUCCAGGAAAAGCCUCUAAGCAUCAGGUAACAUCAAAUCGUACCCCAAACCGACACAGGUGGUCAGGUAGAGAAUACCAAGGCGCUUGAGAGAACUCGGGUGAAGGAACUAGGCAAAAUGGUGCCGUAACUUCGGGAGAAGGCACGCUGAUAUGUAGGUGAGGUCCCUCGCGGAUGGAGCUGAAAUCAGUCGAAGAUACCAGCUGGCUGCAACUGUUUAUUAAAAACACAGCACUGUGCAAACACGAAAGUGGACGUAUACGGUGUGACGCCUGCCCGGUGCCGGAAGGUUAAUUGAUGGGGUUAGCGCAAGCGAAGCUCUUGAUCGAAGCCCCGGUAAACGGCGGCCGUAACUAUAACGGUCCUAAGGUAGCGAAAUUCCUUGUCGGGUAAGUUCCGACCUGCACGAAUGGCGUAAUGAUGGCCAGGCUGUCUCCACCCGAGACUCAGUGAAAUUGAACUCGCUGUGAAGAUGCAGUGUACCCGCGGCAAGACGGAAAGACCCCGUGAACCUUUACUAUAGCUUGACACUGAACAUUGAGCCUUGAUG
rnacentral:rRNA from 1 species